UUUACCCCAGCUUUAGUUGUUCAAAUGUGUUCAUCACAUUUAGCAUCUGGAAGGCAUGAUUACCAGUUGUUAAAGACUUCUUUAUAGGCAACCUUUAGAAGAAACAAGCUUAGGCAGAAUAUAUUGCAUCUGCUAUUGCAAAGUAAUUUGCAUAACUUGGUAGGUGUAUAUAUUUUGGGUCUCAUGUGGGAAGGAAAAUAAGUGAAAAAAGCAAAUGAUCACCUAGAGUUGCUUCUGAAUGUUUUCUUUUUUUCCAUUAAAUUUUAUUGAAAAAACUUCCUCUUCAGCUGCAUUUUUUUCUCUAUAUGACUCCUAUAUCCUUUAGGUGAUGUUGCUUCAAUUCCUCGUGGUUGAGGUGAGGACUAAUUCCUUUUCCUUGCCCUUCUAUGCCUAAUUGUAUUUGUAGCUCUAGCAAGUUUAUUAUCUAUUAAUUUUCUCUGGAUGUAUGUACAUUGUUUAUAAUUCGGAGCCCAGUGUUUGAUUUAAUUUUGGAGUGAUCGAACUAAAUGUUCACUUUUGUUGUAUACUUAAAAGUGCUUGGUGAAUUGCUUACAUUUAAUUACGGUAGAUUUAUACCUAGGGGUUGUGAAGAUAUGCUUUUUAGUGUUGUUACCGGAGGCAGAUUGCUGGGAUUCUCAAAGUAACUUCUAUCUGGUUGUUUUCGAUACAUUUAAUGGUUGACAUCUUCGGUCCGUGCAUAGUCUACUACUAGCCCUCCUAUUUUUCUCAUGAUCUGCUCUGUUUAUUAUGUCUCUUGUUACACUUCCUUGAAUUUUUUAGGUAUUGUAAACUAAGGUAGUCUACUAGCCCUUCUAUUUUUCUCAUGAUCUGCUCUAUUUGUUCUGUCUCUUGUUAGACUUCCUUUAAUUGUUUAGGUAUUGUAAACUAAGAUGGGGUUUGCUUCUGUACUUUAUUUGUUUCCCACAGAGUAGUGUUGUUCAUUCAAAAUAAUUCGAACACUGGCUGCAAGCCUGAAUCCUGUGUGAAACCGAGCGCUAAGCCAGCUCGAGUGAUGCAGGGUGACGAUGACCAAAGCGUGCAGUGCAGCAGCCUGGCAGGCGACAGCAUUAAGACCACAAGCAUAGCUUUAGAGACAGUUCUCAUCGAACGACGAUAAGCACAGCUGAUGUAAAGACGCCAAGGGUAUGUUUUGGAUGAUUCGGUGCCUCUCGUUCAUGGCAACGAGGAUCAGAUCAGCUGCCAAGAGAUGUAUUUCGCGAAUCUGCAGUUGUUGGUGCAGAGUCAGCUGUUGAAUCUCCGGCUCCACCAGACGAUAGAAGCUGCGGAGCAGGGCUGUGAAGCAAUCAAGCGUUGCAGUUGACAAGAAAAAAUCCCAGAGGUGGCUGGGUGCAUUGUUCCUACUUCAUAGGCGAAGUACAUGAGCUCCAUCGUUUAUUUGCUGCGGAUAACACUGACAUGUUUGGGGCAUCAAGGGUGUUAAACCCAAUCUGGUCAUCUGACCGAUCGAUCAAUGAAAUUGUAUUAUUGUAGUUGUAAGAUCGAUUCGCUAAGUGAGCCUUGGCGAUAUUUUUGUACGGAGCACCUCGGUUCCCUAUCGUCGAUGUUCUGAAAUAUAGUGCUACAAACUACUCCUAACUACCUAUGUAGAGAUCCAUGCUACGUCGCUUGACGUAUAUGCAGUGUAUGCUCUAUGCAAGACUUUUUUUGUUUUUAUUUUGUUUUUAGCUUCAUGCAUGCUUGGUGGCGGUUUGAAAAUGACUGGUCGCGCUUGCUGCACUAUGCGAUUGUGUUAGAACUUCAAUAUUAAGGUCCUCGAACUUUCCUUGGAAAAUAGUUAUAUGAGCUACUAUUUUGCUUUUUUUCCUUGGCGUUGAAAUUGUCAUAUCUUAAUGCAGCACCUCGAUGGAAUGGUGUUUCUACAAUUAUACCAAAGCUGUUAAAUUUCAAGGUAAUUUUUAAUACUAAAAUAAGAUAAAACUUAUAGCUUAAAUGUUGCUUUGAUUUUUUCCAUUUGCGCGAUAGCGCAACGG